rnacentral:lncRNA from 1 species
GUGCUAAUAUUGCCUGUUCUGUUUAUAUUGACAAUAAAUCAUGAACAUGUUGUCCAUCCUUCCCUGCAGGAUCUGGUUAUAUGUGAGUGUGUGUCUAUGUUUGUGUGUGUGUCUGUGCAUUCAGCACAGCCCUGCACAGAACAGCCUAUUACACACAAACAAUCAGUGAGUGGGGUAAUUGCUUCAUAUGCAGCAUUUGAUUCCAUUACAGACAGACUGAUUGACCGUCAUUGCACGGUGACUCAUCCUGUCCAAAAUGAUUGAGUAGCAAACAUACUGUUUGUGUGUGUGUGUGUGUGUGUGUGUGUGUGUGUGUGUGUGUGUGUGCGUGUGUGUGUCUCUCUCUUUCUCUCUGUGUGUGGUGACAUUAUAAAAAACAGAAAAUGAAAAUUGACAAGUUUAGAAAGCAGGCUGUCAAAGGUUAUGCAGAUAAAUCACAUCACACAUGAAUCACACAUGAAUAUCAACACUAAUCAGACCAACAGACACUCUUUUAUCAGCUCAUGUAUGCUUGAUCAGCAAGCCCUAAGCAGGAGAGAUAAAUGGGCUACAGAGGUGUUUGCUUGGGACAAAUCUGAGAGCUCUUGUUAUUCCAAAGAUGCAUCCAAUCCCACACACUGAUGACCCUUUAACACGAGUGCUUCUAGGAUUUUCUGGAACUUUUUAGGAGCGUUGCCCCCCAAAUUUUCCAUCUCAAAAAAGGUUCAGUCCUGUAGUUUGUUAUUUACUCCAUUAUGUGUCGCUCCUUCAGUUUUGCGCUGGUCCCAUGCUACAAAUGCCAUCACCUCCCUCCUCGUGUUUAAUGGUUAAUUUGGAAAUUUCCUGCUGGGUUCUCACAUCAGACUUCACAGGGAAAUUUCACAAGAGACUGGUAGUAAAAAUCAGGGUGAUUUUUCUUUUCUUAAUUUAUUUUAUAAAAAUAAAUGUACUAUUCCCUUGGUUUAAGAUGACUGUAAGGCCGUUGACAUUAAUGGUAAAGAGAUAAGUGUUGGUUUCUGAAUCUGGUCAGAUCUGAAACCUGUGUGUUGAAAGGCAUAUGAAUUUAAUGUGUUUUAUGCCCCUCCUCUGUUGCUCUGAUUGGUUGCUUAGUCUUUAUGGUUUAAGCACAGUCAUAACACCUGUGAAUGAUAAAUGUACUGAAACAUUUCAGACCAAUUUACAUUUGUAUUUGCAAAUUAGUCUGGCAGUGACAGACUGCAGAGGUCUAGUAAGCUUUUUGACUCUGAGUUUGUGAAAACUGAGAGUUGGAGGUCAAUCCCACAUUAUCGACCUUUUUUAAAUGGCACCAGUAGGAAUUUUGACAUAAACACUUACUGAAAAAGGGAAAAUGGUUGAAAAUGCUGCUCUUUUUGCCUUUUUAGAUUACCUUUCUGUUAAAUAUAACCAGACUUUGAGAAGUAACACCACUGUAAGUACUGAGACAGCUCAACCUUAUGAAGUUAUAUCCAAUUAAAACUGUUAAAUCACAUCAGGUCUUUCACAUCAAAAAGAAACUUGUCCUUUGAGACAUUAUCAUAAGUAGGCCUACAGCAACUCCUAAUCAGUAAAAAGAGUAUUUGCAGCCAACUAAGGCCCAAAAGGUCAGUUUUUUUAAAUCUGACACCAAAUUGGAUUAAAAAAUCAGCUGCUAUUACACCGACCCCCCGCAAUUGACAUUUACAUUGGACACAAGUUGGCUCAGACCAAGUAAUCUUAUUAGAAGAGGGUCCAUGAGGGCCGAAGUAGAUUUAGCAGUGCUGGGAUCAUAUAUCGUGAGCAGGUGGUUUUAUGAUGUAAAACCAGCUACGAGCUAAAAACAUAAAAAAGUUGGCACAAAUUCUUGAUUUAUAAAUGGUUUUAUUCAUGCAGCUGAUUAUAAUGCUUUCUCGGAUUUCAUGGGAUGUACUGCUUCCAUGGCAACAGAUUCUAAUCAGACUCCUAUGGGGCAAAAAAAAGAAAGAAAAAACAAACAUUAAAUUUAACAUCUCAGUUCAUGGUCACGUCUAAACUUGUAACUGCGUACUUGUUAUAAUUCACAUCAGACUGACUUUAGAAAAGAUGAAAAACAAAAAAAGCCAAAAUAUUUAUACCAUGCUCUAUCUUCUCAGAGUUUUGCUGUUGACACACCUAUUGAUCAUUUUAAUUUUUGUUAACAGUGGGACCAUAUAGGUGGGUGGGGCUUAAUGGGAAGUAGUUUUUUGCUUUUUUUCUUCUGAAAAUAGUGGAAGAUACUGUUUCUUUCAAUAACCUUGCACUGACAAACUUGCUGACCUGUUUGCUCUCUCUCAGUGGAUGGAUGAUUUGACAGGACUGCAGAGGACAGAUGGAAAGAUUUUCACUCUUGAUAGAAAAACCAAGUAAUAGACAAACUGAGGGUGUAUGAGUUCUUGGAUGUCUUAAUAUUUAUGGCUUAUCAUCACCAUGACUACCACACAAAGGAAGACAGCCAACAAAAGGUUUCCUCUGGUUUGUUUUGCUAGCAAAGCUAAUAUUGGCCCAUGUGCUAAAUCAAUAAAUGUUACAGAGUAAUCCAAUAUUCCUCCUGAUGCCGCCUCAAUUUCUGAUCAGAGGUAUAUGAUAACUGUUGCGAUACAUGAUGUCAUCCAUCCACUCAACAGGAAAUAUACAGUACAAUAUUUCAAGUGUUUGCUGCACACACGUCCUUUCUUCUUAAUACAUCUGACCAAAGUUAUCUCUGUUUUUGUUGAUGGGUAGUGGUGGCUUAUACACAAAAAAAAGAGAAAGUUUUGAGUCUUUACUGUUGAUUCCUCUAUUCUGACUUAUUUGAACUCAUGUGUUGCCUUUUAUUCUGUAGUCACUGUCCAGGUUGGCCUUCAGUUUUCCUUUUCCGUCCAUGUAAUACCAUGAUGUCACAGUAAAGUUGCCUCCAACAGGGUCCAUACAGACAUCAUGCCUUAACUUUUAACAUGGUUACUUUUGUCUCCAACACUCAUGGUCUGGGCUAUUUUGCUUCUGUUUUUCCUCUCAGAGUUGGUUGGAGCCAUAGACUGUAUAUACUAUGGACAACUUGGUUCCGCCUUCCGCCAUCAUACGGAUUUGAAGCUGAGAAUCUCUCGGUAACUUUGCAUUUUCUCCCGACUUCCUGAAACCAACAUUGCGCAGUAGUGUUGUGCGCAUUCAGUGGGAGAGUCGCUGUGAUGACGCUCAUCUUAAAUAGCGUAUCCCUCGGGUGAGCUACGCAAUCUUUGAUCACCCAUAAGCUGUAUCAAGUGUCAAUCAUAGAAAACAUGAACCCCCUAAAAACUUUUGAAAAGUGAGCUGCACAGAAAAAA